CGGGAUGUAGUUCAGUUGGUAGAACGCACGGUUCGGGACCGUGAGGUCGAGAGUUCAAGUCUCUCCAUCCCGA
rnacentral:tRNA from 1 species